rnacentral:rRNA from 1 species
UAGGGAAUAUUGGGCAAUGGAGGCAACUCUGACCCAGCCAUGCCGCGUGCCGGAUGAAGGCCCUCUGGGUUGUAAACGGCUUUUAUCUACGAAGAACGAGGGGGAUGCGUCCUUCUGUGACGGUAGUAGAGGAAUCAGCACCGGCUAACUCCGUGCCAGCAGCCGCGGUAAUACGGAGGGUGCAAGCGUUGUCCGGAUUUAUUGGGUUUAAAGGGUGCGUAGGUGGGACUAGUAAGUCUGGUUUGAAAGCUGGUGGCUUAACCAUCAGAUGUGGCUGGAUACUGUUAGUCUAGAAGCGAUUGGAGGUUGGUGGAACGGGUCGUGUAGCGGUGAAAUGCAUAGAGAUGACCCAGAACCCCGAUUGCGUAGGCAGCCAACUACGGUCGUCUUGACACUGAGGCACGAGAGCAUGGGGAGCAAAACAGGAUUAGAUACCCUGGUAGUCCAUGCCGUAAACGAUGAUGACUGACUGUUACGCUCUUGGGCGUAGUGGUUCAGCGAAAAGC